UCAAAAGAAGAGAGCAAGUCGGUGAAGGGCGGGCCUGCACUUUCGGUGGGCCGCGUCGCCCGGCACCUCAAGGUCAGGCGCUACGCGCGCCGCGUGGGCGCGGGCGCCCCCGUCUACCUCUGCGUCGUGUGCUCGGGUAACUCGCAGGCUGCCCUGGAGCUGGCCAGCAACGCGGCGCGUGACAACAAGAAGACCACGAUCUCGCCGCGCCACAUCCAGCUCGCCGUCCCCAACGACGAGGAGCUCAGCCGCUUGCUCGGCGGUGUCACCAUCGCUGCCGGCGGCGUCUUGCCCAACAUCCACUUCGUGCUGCUCCCCAAGAAGCCCGACGGCAAGGGCGCCGGCACCGGCGGGUCCGUCUCACAGUCCCAGGAGUUCUAG
rnacentral:rRNA from 1 species